rnacentral:misc_RNA from 1 species
AACCAUAGAAACCUGCGGAGUACCUGCGGAGGGAUCAUUAAAAUAUAUUGUGGUUUUUUUUAAAACCAUUUUCCUUGUGAUUUCCGUAUACGUUCACUUUGGCAGGCUUUGGGCUGUGACUAGCUCAACUUUUAGAUCUCAUUCACGAGGUUACGAAAGAGGCCUGCCAGAGGUUUUUUCAAAUCACUUGUUUAAAUUAUCGUCUGAAAAAUUUUCUCGUUCGAGAGAAAUAAAUACAAA